rnacentral:rRNA from 1 species
GGUUUUUUAGCUGCGGAGAUUGGUUUUUUUGGUUUAUUUGCCUUUUGCAUCAUGCUUGGCGGAUUUUUGUAAAGUAUUUUUUUAUACCGAAAGGUUCUGAUCUUGAGUUUAAUUGUUUGGCAUUGUUUUAGAUUUGGGUAAAAUUCUAUUAAAUUAAAUUUAUGAAGUGAUAAGUAAGUCGUAGAUCUUUAUAACUGUUUAGUUGUUGGUUAUUUAUAGUUAUGUAUGUGGCUAUAAGGUCAUUUAUGUUUUUAUACAUUUGAUGUUUUUUGUGUUGUUUAAUAAGGUUAGGGGUACCUAGUUUUUGUUAUAUUGUUAUAAAUAUGGUUUUGUUUAUUUUGGUAAUUUGUUAAUUAUUUGAACAACUUUUUGUGAUAUUUGGCUGUUAUAUUAUUGUUGAAUGAGUAAUUUUAUUAUGCUAUUUAUUUCUUGAGUUCUUUCCGUCUGUUUAUUAAAAACAUUUCUAACUUGAAUUAUAGUUGGUAGUGCCUGCCCAAUGUUAGUUAAUUAAUGGCCGCAGUAUAUUGACUGUGCAAAGGUAGCAUAAUUAAUUGCCUUUUAAUUGGAGGCUUGUUUGAAUGGUUUGACGUGAUUGGUAUGAAUAUUUGGUAUUUUAUUGAAAUUGAUUUUAAGGGUUUAGAAUCCUUUAUUUUUAAUAAGACGGAAAGACCCUAGGAUCUUUUGUUUUUGUUUGGGGCAAAUUUUUGUGUUUCAUGAACAUUAUGACCCUGAAGUGUGAUGGGUUUAUUGGGCUAAGUUACCCUAGGGAUAACAGUGUGAUGAUUAAUAAGAGGUCUUAUCGAAUUAAUUGUUUGCCACCUCGAUGUUGACUUAGGCUAAGGUUUUGGUGUAGUAGUUGAGAUUUUAGGUCUGUUCGACCUUUUUAGCCUCCAUGAGUUGAGUUGAGACCGGCGUGAGCCAGGUCGGUUCUUAUCUAUUGUAGAAGUUUAUCAGUACGAAAGGACAGUGAAUUUUUUUAUU